GACGAACGCUGGCGGCGUGCUUAACACAUGCAAGUCGAGCGGUAAGGCCCUUUCGGGGGUACGACGAGCGGCGAACGGGUGAGUAACACGUGGGUGACCUGCCCUCAGCUCUGGGAUAAGCCUGGGAAACUGGGUCUAAUACUGGAUAUGACUCCACGGUGCAUGUCGUGGGGUGGAAAGCCUUGUGCGGCUGAGGAUGGGCCCGCGGCCUAUCAGCUUGUUGGUGGGGUGAGGCCUACCAAGGCGACGACGGGUAGCCGGCCUGAGAGGGCGACCGGCCACACUGGGACUGAGACACGGCCCAGACUCCUACGGGAGGCAGCAGUGGGGAAUCUUGCGCAAUGGGCGAAAAGCCUGACGCAGCGACGCCGCGUGAGGGAUGACGGCCUCGG
rnacentral:rRNA from 1 species